UCGUGGAGGCCCAAUUAUCAU
rnacentral:misc_RNA from 1 species